ensembl:lncRNA
AUUUCUCAGCUUGCCUGUGAGAGAGGAGGAGCUAAUCCUUCUAACGAUGAUUUUCCUCGUUCACCACUUGGUCUUGCUGGCCACAGACUUACUUUCUCGCAACGAUCCUUUCUUGCCUCCUUUAUGCCUUUGCAUUCGUUUCCAUUGCUGUUUUUACCUGCUUCAUUAUCUUCUGGUCCUUCGGCGUCGUGGAGAAGAACAUUGACAUAAAAGGGAGAGCAAUUGUAAUUCUCGUAUCCAACAGCUCAAUUGGGAGGACGUUUGCUAGGAACUUGGAUAAAGCAGGUUUUAGGGUGUCUGCUGCACACUGGCCUCCUCAAGAGGAGGGAACAACUGCGAAAGAAGAGUGCUCUUCAAGAAUGGAGGUAGCACAGCUCCACAUGACAGAUGAUGAGUACCAGAAGACAAUGAAAACCUUCAUAGAAAGCCACUUAUCCCUGAAAGGGAAAGAGACUACUCUGGUGGCUGUGAAAGGCCCCAGUGGAACCCAGCCCCUGGAGGAAGGCAAGGUAGGCCAAGGAACAAGGGGAGAAGGUCCCACCAAGGCAGAGAGGGCUGGACUCAUCGUGGGGAGAAAACACAGGAAUGAAAAGGGGGUGCAGGCACUUGGACAAUGACCCAGGAUGAAGGCAAACGUCUGACUUUUAACCUCUUGUGGAUUAAAAAAAACCUGAGGUUUCUCUUGUCUCUUUGUGGGCUGUGGGAUUCAUAAGAAAUAGCCCAGUCAGAACUUUGGCUGGAAAGUUGGGACUAUCUGAAUCCCACAGCUGCCAUUUCUGUGAGAAAAUAGGACUGAGAGCAGCCAUAGAGCCCUGCUGGGACCGCACAAGGCUAAUGUCCUACCAAGGAAACAUCCGUAAGCACUCCAUCUGGGGAACAUCACCUGUUCUUUGUAAGUGUGGGAUGAGGGGUAGGCAGGCUGCCUCUGGGCCUUGAUGAAUUAGCUCUGCUAUCCAGUAGCCCCUGUCCUCACAGAUGUUAGUUUUAUGCCACUUGGGAGUGACAGAAAAUUAAGCCUUCUCUGUCUGAGCUAUAAUCUCACUGCCCACAGGCCUGUGGGGUUACAAGGGAAGAGGCCAACUCUCUCCUCCACCGUACCUCCUAGCCAAGGUAUGUCUAAGCAGUGAAGCUGUCUCAGUGCUUCCCUGUACUGCCUUCCUAUCCUAUCCAUCCCUCUCCUCCUCACUCUUACUGUGGUUUCUCUGAGGCUCCUUUCGAGGACUCCCCAAGGCAGCUUCCCUGCACUCUAACACUGAGCCAGAAUCUCCAGGAGCAUUCUUCUCACACCCCUGAGAAAUGACAAGACCCUUUGCACUGCUGGCCAGCACUGGAAGUUUUCUUUGUGCUCUCAGGCUGUGCACAGGAAGGACAUGCUGUAUGUCAGAGUACGCACCAUGAAGCCCCCCCUACUGCAGACACCCCACCAGAGACACAGUAGGGAACUCCAUCCAAUGCCCACAGCCAGCUGCAGCUGUUGAUGGCCCAGCAGCACAGGUUAUCUCCCAUUGCUUUUCUGCUCAGAAGCACACAGCAGACCAGAAGUGCCUG